rnacentral:rRNA from 1 species
UACGUAGGGGGCAAGCGUUAUCCGGAUUUACUGGGUGUAAAGGGAGCGUAGGCGGUAAUGCAAGUCAGAAGUGAAAGCCCGGGGCUCAACUCCGGGACUGCUUUUGAAACUGUGUUGCUAGAUUGCAGGAGAGGUAAGUGGAAUUCCUAGUGUAGCGGUGAAAUGCGUAGAUAUUAGGAGGAACACCAGUGGCGAAGGCGGCUUACUGGACUGUAAAUGACGCUAAGGCUCGAAAGCGUGGGGAGCAAACAGG